UACGUAGGGUGCGAGCGUUGUCCGGAAUUAUUGGGCGUAAAGAGCUCGUAGGCGGUCUGUCGCGUCGAAUGUGAAAACCCGGGGCUCAACUCCGGGCUUGCAUUCGAUACGGGCAGACUAGAGUUCGGUAGGGGAGACUGGAAUUCCUGGUGUAGCGGUGAAAUGCGCAGAUAUCAGGAGGAACACCAAUGGCGAAGGCAGCUCACUGGGACGAUACUGACGCUGAGACGCGAAAGCGUGGGGAGCAAACAGG
rnacentral:rRNA from 1 species